rfam:Schistosoma haematobium scaffold336_1, whole genome shotgun sequence.
AUCCAGUUGACGAGUCCCAAAAAUAGGACGAAACAUACGUCCUGUAU